GAAAAGUGCAUCAAUGUCAGGAGUUUUAUCUGGUGUCUGCUUCCCGGUGCUGCUUUGAGCUUUACAAGAACUUGUAAAAGGUUUCCUACCAAGCUUGGAUGAGCUGGACAGGUCUUGCUUCUCUCCAUGUUCAGUCUUCUGCAGCAGGGCACCACAGCGAUGGAUACUUUCAUUACUUCUCCCUAUGUUCACAUCCAAAGGGCCCAAAAAGUUGUCAGAUUUCUGAAACAGCCACUUAGUGGUCAGUGAUGUGGGGUGGGGCAUGCCCUCGUCCUGAAGACUGGCUCUGCGGUGUGCAGAGGUGGAGAGGCUGGAAGGGGGCAUGAUGAAGCACUGAGCAGGAUGAAACAAGCUUUUACAUUCCAGUGGAGACGACGGCAGCAAAAAAGGACCCUAAGGUGACGUUACACUCCUUCUGGUGGCAGUACUGAAAACACACGGC